UGCUGCAAGGUUUAUGAAUUUAAGAAUUAUAAGAUUGUUUAUUGUUGGAUUUGCUAACAAACUGCCUCUUGUGUUGUUCAUUUUUGCGGGCUCACUGUUUUUGGUUCAGUUUGAAGCGCUCUCUAGGCUUAAAUCAUUCGGGAUAUAGUUGAGUUGUUGAAUCUGAAUGUAUGUAAUCGGUUUCUGCUCGCUGGUCUUAAGAUCUUUCUAGGACAUAGUUGAGUUGUUCAAUCUGAAUGUAUAUAAUCGGUUUCUCAACGGAUGUAUCUAUAUCAAUGAAAAAAAUAGCGCGCUACAGCAAAAUAGCGGCGACCUUAAAAUAUGCUAUUAGUGUGCUAUAUCGCGCUAUAGUGUGCUAUUAGCGAGAUGUUGUACACCGAUAUAUUUAGCGAGGCAAUUCUCAAUACGCUAUAGCGCGCUAUUUUUUCAGUGAUCUAUAUGCAUUUUUUUCAUCAUCAAAAUAUUUUUUCUUACCGGCCUUGUCCUACAUCUAUGAGAUUGAUGAGGAGGUUCUGUUUUUGCAGGUGGCGUAACAUUUGAGUUGCCCGUCCCAGUCCUUAGUUCACAUAUGCUGGUAAAUCUGUUUUGAAAAUUUGACGGAGGAACUAAUUUGUAUUCUUGUUGAUUUAUCUAUUGUGUUGUGUCGUUGAUGUGUGUAUUUUGCUGUGAUUUCUGAGAGUUCAUUUGCUUCCAGGAUGAGUUUAUUUGGCGCAAGGAGACUAGAUGAGUGCAGGGGGGAGAGAUGAGGUAGAUGCGAAAUCCCAACUCUUGCUCGUGCUGCUACGACCGUGGUGUUUCUUAUGUGUAGUUUUUUUGUAGAGGUCUGGGCUCUAACAUAUUCUAUAGAUAUGUGAUGUUUCUUAUGUGCAGUUUUUUUGCAUGUAUUUUAGUGAAAAGAAGUAUGCUUUAGAGAACACAGAGAUAAAAAAUGUCAUAUUCUUUUAUCAAAUAA
rnacentral:lncRNA from 1 species